UUGGACCUUAAAGAAACCCAAACAAACCGAGGAAAACAAUAGAGGAAGUUAAUUCAAACCAGUCACUGGGCUGGGAAAGAAGGCCUAAAUCUUGGGGGACCUCAAGUCUGGUGGCCUCCUGGAGAAGAAACAAGUACCGUGAGAGAUUUGGUGCUUCUAGAGAGCAGUGCCUGCCUGGAGUCUGGUCGUCAAAAACCUUUGCAGAAAGAUGAGUGAACCUACUCAGGACCCCACUGGAGUUAAGGGAUCUCGUGCACUGCACUUUGCAGGAAGAGGGCCGCAACUUGCUCUCUUCCUGCCGUCACACAUUCUCAUGAUUUCUUCAUGCAAGGUUUUGUUGGAAUACACACGGCUCCUCCUUUCCACCAUCUGCCUGAGAACUUCACCUCAGCGGAGGGGAGUUGUACCUUUUCUGCCGGAACCUGAAGUUCUCAACUUUCCAGAGUCCAUUUAGUGGAAGACUGUUCUCUAAGUACUGGAGACCUUGAGCGUGAACGGUAUCUUCUGGAUGGGGCUGCCCUUGCCCUUGAACGGUGAUAACCAUCUGACCUUGACCUGCAACGAUUGUUACGACUCUUCCCUUCGCCUCUUCUUGGAUACGGUGGCGAUCGCGAGUGGGAACGAGAGUGGGAAUGACUAAAUGAGUGAGAGCAGGAGGCAG